UACGUAGGCAGCGAGCGUUGUUCGGAGUUACUGGGCGUAAAGCGCUCGCAGGUGGUUCGUUGCGUCGUGCGUGAAAGACCCCGGCUCAACUGGGGAGGGUCGUGCGAUACGGGCGGACUGGAGGCCAGUAGGGGGAUGCGGAAUUCCGGGUGUAGUGGUGGAAUGCGUAGAGAUCCGGAGGAACACCAGCGGCGAAGGCGGCAUCCUGGACUGGUCCUGACACUCAGGAGCGAAAGCGUGGGGAGCGAGUCCGG
rnacentral:rRNA from 1 species